rnacentral:rRNA from 1 species
AGAGUUUGAUCAUGGCUCAGAUUGAACGCUGGCGGCAGGCCUAACACAUGCAAGUCGAGCGGUAGCACAGAGAGCUUGCUCUCGGGUGACGAGCGGCGGACGGGUGAGUAAUGUCUGGGAAACUGCCUGAUGGAGGGGGAUAACUACUGGAAACGGUAGCUAAUACCGCAUAAUGUCGCAAGACCAAAGUGGGGGACCUUCGGGCCUCAUGCCAUCAGAUGUGCCCAGAUGGGAUUAGCUAGUAGGUGGGGUAACGGCUCACCUAGGCGACGAUCCCUAGCUGGUCUGAGAGGAUGACCAGCCACACUGGAACUGAGACACGGUCCAGACUCCUACGGGAGGCAGCAGUGGGGAAUAUUGCACAAUGGGCGCAAGCCUGAUGCAGCCAUGCCGCGUGUGUGAAGAAGGCCUUCGGGUUGUAAAGCACUUUCAGCGGGGAGGAAGGCGAUGAGGUUAAUAACCUCAUCGAUUGACGUUACCCGCAGAAGAAGCACCGGCUAACUCCGUGCCAGCAGCCGCGGUAAUACGGAGGGUGCAAGCGUUAAUCGGAAUUACUGGGCGUAAAGCGCACGCAGGCGGUCUGUCAAGUCGGAUGUGAAAUCCCCGGGCUCAACCUGGGAACUGCAUUCGAAACUGGCAGGCUAGAGUCUUGUAGAGGGGGUAGAAUUCCAGGUGUAGCGGUGAAAUGCGUAGAGAUCUGGAGGAAUACCGGUGGCGAAGGCGGCCCCCUGGACAAAGACUGACGCUCAGGUGCGAAAGCGUGGGGAGCAAACAGGAUUAGAUACCCUGGUAGUCCACGCCGUAAACGAUGUCGAUUUGGAGGUUGUGCCCUUGAGGCGUGGCUUCCGGAGCUAACGCGUUAAAUCGACCGCCUGGGGAGUACGGCCGCAAGGUUAAAACUCAAAUGAAUUGACGGGGGGCCCGCACAAGCGGUGGAGCAUGUGGUUUAAUUCGAUGCAACGCGAAGAACCUUACCUGGUCUUGACAUCCACAGAACUUUCCAGAGAUGGAUUGGUGCCUUCGGGAACUGUGAGACAGGUGCUGCAUGGCUGUCGUCAGCUCGUGUUGUGAAAUGUUGGGUUAAGUCCCGCAACGAGCGCAACCCUUAUCCUUUGUUGCCAGCGGUUAGGCCGGGAACUCAAAGGAGACUGCCAGUGAUAAACUGGAGGAAGGUGGGGAUGACGUCAAGUCAUCAUGGCCCUUACGACCAGGGCUACACACGUGCUACAAUGGCAUAUACAAAGAGAAGCGACCUCGCGAGAGCAAGCGGACCUCAUAAAGUAUGUCGUAGUCCGGAUUGGAGUCUGCAACUCGACUCCAUGAAGUCGGAAUCGCUAGUAAUCGUAGAUCAGAAUGCUACGGUGAAUACGUUCCCGGGCCUUGUACACACGCCCGUCACACCAUGGGAGUGGGUUGCAAAAGAAGUAGGUAGCUUAACCUUCGGGAGGGCGCUUACCACUUUGUGAUUCAUGACUGGGGUGAAGUCGUAACAAGGUAACCGUAGGGGAACCUGCGGUUGGAUCACCU